CAGAUUCCAGCAAAGCCAAUCAAUGACUGAUAAUGUUCAGCUGGCUGUUUUCUUCCUCUUUCCACUGAAACCAUGGUUGAUCACAGAGCAGGUGGAUCAACUGAAGGGAUGGAGUGUUCAGGUCCUGUGUCAGGUCUUUGUUGGAUUUUUCUCCCCUGUUUCUUAAAGACAUGACUUUCUGAUACAGUAUCAUCUGCUGUGGAUCAUUUUUUUAGGAUUGCCACUUCUUUUUAAAUGUUUUAGGAACAGACGACACGCCAGACUGACGGCUCUUUGGCAAUCACCUUGCUAAUGCAAAAAUGCCCUCUUAAGCCAAUGUCAAAAUUUGUUAUCUUUGACAUUUUUCAUGAUUUCAACUAAAGAAACAAAUUAUAUGUUUUUGCAUCAGACACUAGUAACAAAGUGCCUAAAGCUACACUUUAAAAUGAAUAUUCAGGUAAGAGGAGAAACAUCUGUAACCAUGAGGCCCUGUCACCUGACAACACUGGCCUGAUCAUAUUGGACUCAGCCUUGAUGGGAAGACCUCCUUCAAUGCAUGAAUACAGUCACUGUACAGGCAUUUCUCUAAGUGAGCUGUGCCACAUCAAUGGCCAUGCACUUUGUAGACUGCUUUGCAAAUUCCAAGUUAUAAUAAGAAUGGCAUUCUACUUCAGGGCCUUUGCCUUCAGCUAAACAGUCAGAUGUGAUACAAAGGACUACUUUUGGAACUUGAGCAAUUCACACAUCUUCCAGCAGAGGGUAUUCGUGAGUAGAAUCAGUGGCUCCUCAAAGUGCUGCAUAAGAGAAUUAGAGUAAAGAGAAAAUAUCCAGUGAGUGACAGUUCUGGGGUGAAAAUGCCUUGCUGAUGCCAAGAGGGGAAUGGCUGAACUGCUUCAAGCUAAUAGGAAGGAAAAAAUAAAUCAAAAGUGACCAAAAAAUAAAAAAUAAAAAAUAAUGUCAGCAAUAAGCCAGACAGCGUCAUCUCCAUGUGGGUCAUGAGGAUCCAGGGUGCUGUCUUGCUCAAUGCCAAAGCAGAGCAGUUUGAAUAAGGAGAAGUAUCAGUAUCACACAGGAAUUGUGUGAUCUUGUCUUUAAUCAUAACUCAGUAAAGUUUGAUACAUAAAGUUUAGCUAUUUUUUUCUCCAUGCAACACCACAGCACGUCUUUUAAAAAAUUAAUAAACAAUGGUAAUUGGAUUUAGAGUGAGCUUUUUUGUACAAGCACAUAAAGCACUCUUGUAAGGUAUGUACAGUGUUAGAGCCAAUGGGUACAAAUCCUUAUAAUAAUUUCACAAUCAUUUGGGGACAUCUUUUUUCUGCACCACACUGUAUGUUAGAUUGCAAACGAAGUUCUAAAAUGAAAAGAUUGUGAGAUAGUCCUACAUUUAAACUGUUGCUCUAAGCUUUUGGAUGAGGUUAGGCGACCGCAUAUAAAACUGAGAAAACUGUAUAUUGACAUUUUUACAUAAAAAGUUCCUUCCAAGAAAACAUGAAAGAAUAAAUCGACUUGAACUCCAAAAUAAUAAAUAUCAGUAAGGUCAGCACUUAUUUUCACAGAAUUUAAUCUAUGGUAAGAAGCCUCACGCUGUCAAUUAAAUCUGUAAUAACUGUGCCACGGACACAUUAAGGUGAACAUCUCAUUUU